rnacentral:rRNA from 1 species
UACGGAGGAUGCGAGCGUUAUCCGGAUUUAUUGGGUUUAAAGGGUGCGUAGGCGGACGCUUAAGUCAGCGGUAAAAUUGCGGGGCUCAACCUCGUCGAGCCGUUGAAACUGGGUGCCUUGAGUGGGCGAGAAGUACGCGGAAUGCGUGGUGUAGCGGUGAAAUGCAUAGAUAUCACGCAGAACUUCGAUUGCGAAGGCAGCGUACCGGCGCCCAACUGACGCUGAAGCACGAAGGCGUGGGUAUCGAACAGG